GUGCUCACUUUGGCAGCCCUUAUACUAAAAUUGGAACAAUACAGAUCAGCAUGGCCCCUGUGCAAGGAAAACAUUUAAAUUCAUGGAGUGUUCCAUAUUUUU